rnacentral:piRNA from 1 species
UACUUGAUCACUCUGCUGUGCGCGGCGAU